rnacentral:rRNA from 1 species
GGAAUUUUGCGCAAUGGGCUAACGCCUGACGCAGCAACGCCGCGUGGAGGAUGAAGGUCUUUGGAUUGUAAACUCCUGUCAGCAGGGAAAAAGCGACUCGGACUCACACUCCGGGGAGUUGAUUGUACCUGCAGAGGAAGCCACGGCUACCUUUGUGCCAGCAGCCGCGGUAAUACAGAGGGGGCAAGCGUUAUUCGGAAUUGUUGGGCGUAAAGGGCGCGUAGGCGGCCUGGCAAGUGGAAGGUGAAAUCCCUCGGCUUAACCGAGGAACUGCCUUCCAUACUGCUUGGCUUGAGACCAGGAGAGGUGAGUGGAAUUCCCAGUGUAGCGGUGAAAUGCGUAGAUAUUGGGAGGUACACCAGUGGCGAAGGCGGCUCACUGGACUGGUACUGACGCUGAGGCGCGAAAGCGUGGGGAGCAAA